rnacentral:rRNA from 1 species
UACAGGGGGGGCAAGCGUUGUUCGGAAUUACUGGGCGUAAAGGGCCAGUAGGCGGCCAACUAAGUCACACGUGAAAUCCCCAGGCUUAACCUGGGAACUGCGUCGGAUACUGGAUGGCUUGAAUUCGGGAGAGGGAUGCAGAAUUCCAGGUGUAGCGGUGAAAUGCGUAGAUAUCUGGAGGAAUACCGGUGGCGAAGGCGGCAUCCUGGACCGACAUUGACGCUGAUGAGCGAAAGCUAGGGGAGCAAACGGG